rnacentral:tmRNA from 1 species
GGGGAUGUCACGGAUUCGACAUGAUUAAGGUUUAAGUAAAUGCAGUGGGGUAUGCCCCUUAUAGCUUGAGAUGCAAACAAAUGCAGACAAACAAGAAGAAGUAGCCUUAAACCAACCAUUUAUGGCUAACCAAUUCCAAUACAACUGUGUAGCAGUUGCUUAAUUAUUUAGCAAUUCAAUGCACAAAUUGGGUGUAAUAGAGAUUUAGUCUCUUCUAUCUAGUACACUUUAAUCAAAGAGAAUAUACCUCUACGAUGCUAAUAAUAGAGAUGAAUCUAAUCUUAGCUUUGUCUAAUGGUGGUAGUCUAUAACCAUACAACAUUAGAUGAGGGUUAUAACAGUAGACUAAACUGUAGUAUUUGCUUAGGUUUUAAUUGUGGAAACGGGUUCAAUUCCCGUCAUCUCCACCA